UACGGAGGUUCCAAGCGUUGUUCGGAAUUACUGGGCGUAAAGGGAGCGCAGGCGGUCUGAUCAGUCCAAAGUGGAAGCCCGGGGCUCAACCUCGGAAAGCCUUUGGAUACUGUCAGACUUGAGUACGUGAGAGGAAGGCGGAAUUCAAGGUGUAGCGGUGAAAUGCUUAGAUAUCUUGAGGAACACCAAUGGCGAAAGCAGCCUUCUGGCACGACACUGACGCUGAGGCUCGAAAGCGUGGGGAGCAAACAGG
rnacentral:rRNA from 1 species